UACGGAAGGCAGCAGUGGGGAAUAUUGCACAAUGGGCGCAAGCCUGAUGCAGCCAUGCCGCGUGUAUGAAAAAGGCCUUCGGGUUGUAAAGUACUUUCAGUCGUGAGGAAGGUGUUAAGGUUAAUAACCUUAGCAAUUGACGUUAGCGACAGAAGAAGCACCGGCUAACUCCGUGCCAGCAGCCGCGGUAAUACGGAGGGUGCGAGCGUUAAUCGGAAUUACUGGGCGUAAAGGGCACGCAGGCGGUUAAUUAAGUUGGAUGUGAAAUCCCCGGGCUUAACCUGGGAAUGGCAUUCAAGACUGGUUAGCUAGAGUCUUGUAGAGGGGGUAGAAUUCCAUGUGUAGCGGUGAAAUGCGUAGAGAUGUGGAGGAAUACCGGUGGCGAAGGCGGCCCCUGGGACAAAGGACUGACGCUCAUGUGCGAAAGCGUGGGGAGCAAACGAGGGAUUAGAUACC
rnacentral:rRNA from 1 species